GAUGAACGCUGGCGGCGUGCCUAAUACAUGCAAGUCGAGCGAAUGGAUUAAAAGCUUGCUCUUCUGAAGUUAGCGGCGGACGGGUGAGUAACACGUGGGUAACCUGCCCAUAAGACUGGGAUAACUCCGGGAAACCGGGGCUAAUACCGGAUAACAUUUUGAACCGCAUGGUUCGAAAUUGAAAGGCGGCUUCGGCUGUCACUUAUGGAUGGACCCGCGUCGCAUUAGCUAGUUGGUGAGGUAACGGCUCACCAAGGCAACGAUGCGUAGCCGACCUGAGGGGGGGAUCGGCCACACUGGGACUGAGAAACGGCCCAGACUCCUACGGGAGGAAGCAGUGGGGAAUCUUCCGCAAUGGACGAAAGUCUGACGGAGCAACGCCGCGUGAGUGAUGAAGGCUUUCGGGUCGUAAAACUCUGUUGUUAGGGAAGAACAAGUGCUAGUUGAAUAAGCUGGCACCUUGACGGUACCUAACCAGAAAGCCACGGCUAACUACGUGCCAGCCGCCGCCGUAA
rnacentral:rRNA from 1 species